AAACCAUGAGAGUCACCAACACCCAAAGUCCGCUUCGGCGGCCUAAGGUGGGGGAGAUGAUUGGGGUUAAGUCGUAACAAGGCAUCCGUACGAGAACGUGUGGAUGGAUUACCUCCUUU
rnacentral:rRNA from 1 species